UCUUAUUUAAAAAUUUAUGAAAAAAAAUUAAAUCACGCAUUAUCUAAUAGCAACAAAAAAUAUUAAUCAUAAAAAAAUUUAAAUAAAAUGAAUAGUUAAAUAUUGGACACGGAAACCUAUAACUACAGACGGAGGGGUACUAGUCUAAUAUACUGCGGGUAUAAAGUUUCUUUCAUAGGAACAGUACUGCUAUCGUUUUAGUUUGUGAGAUGCUGCAGCGAAGGUUGGGUUGUCAACAGCUAAGCCGCGACGUUUCGUACUGGCUUUGACCAAACCCCGCACAUGGGCUUGACCAAUUAAAUUUUGUCGCAAACGAUCGGAAAAAAAAAAUUCAGUUCGUUCGUGUGUGCGUGCGAUUGUGCUCGCGUGCACUCUUCGCUUGGUCGGCCUCCUCCUGGAGUCCCCGGUUGCUGUCGCCAUUAUAUACUCCUAUCUCUCUCCUUACUUCUUCAUCUAAUCAUCUCCAAUUCCUCGAGCCUUUUUUAUUCUUCUAUUAUGCAGGCUGGAAUUGAAACGAGGGUUUCUCCAAGAGGAUAGGUUAUCCAUCACAAUUAAGUGUGGAAAUUGACUGGCUAGUGAUUGAUGUUAUCCCUCAACUAAGCGUUUUUAGUGUAUGGUACUAUGUGUUGUUUCUCUGGGCCUAGUGGGCGAGUCUUCCUCGUGUUCGUAACGGUGCUGGGAGUGAACUGCUGCGCAAGUCAGUUACUCGGAGAAACAUCACCACGGCUGACACACACCUCUAUGGACUACGGACGUAUAGAGCGGUGAAUACGACCCCUAAUAGAUGCUCAAGAAGACGAUGACUAACGACAUAUUCUUGAUCUCACUAAAUUGUUAUUGAAUGUUCAAACUUAAAUU